GGGGUUGUACUGGUUUCGACGGGGGCUAUGAAGCUGGUGAAGCUAUCCGCAUGCGAUGCGUUAAAUGGCAAAUCUAAAUAUAAACGCUAACGAUAGAGAAUUAGCAUACGCUGCCUAAUUAAGGCGGCUGUCGGCCUUAGGGCACUCACACUUUAAGAUCCCGGCAUCAUUUUUGUGAGAAACGACACGCGCAAAGCUUUGAGCGCGCGGGCGUAUUAUGAAGCUACUGAAUGAAUUUGGGUGUCUGUUCCCGGAUUCAGGAGGGAAUGAAUAACAGCAGACUAUGAUAGUAGAAGAACAGGGGAUUGGUUUUCGGACAGGGGUUCGAUUCCCCUCAGCUCCACUC
rnacentral:tmRNA from 1 species